rnacentral:lncRNA from 13 species
GUGCCUUCUUCUGGGCUGGACCCGGGCAGGGGCCUCCUUCUCAGAACGCUUCCUGCUCAGCGCCCCCCCUGUGGAGUUUAUUGGGUCCUUAAUGGGCUCUCAGAGACCUGGCACCUGCCGCCUUUUCUGUUCUAAUAAAAGGCACAUGCCCUGGGGGUGGACGGGGGUGGCGUGCGUGGGGCUCUGGCUCGUGGCCACUCUGGGCGACACAUUCCUGGGUCCUGACUCACAGGGAAACGUUUGUCUUCGUGUCUCCUCAGCAGUUUUGGGGCCUGCAGCUGUGGUCGCAUUCCUCCUCCUCCUCCCCUCAUCUCCCUUGGGUCCCUCCAGCUGGAGCUGCUGCUAACGAUACUGACCCAUCCUUGGCUGUGGAGACUGAGGCUGCCAGAGGGCGGGUGCUGGUUUCCAGGCUGUGCCACGUCAAGUGAGGAGGAAUAGGGAUUUGGUGUCCCCAUGCCACACCCUCUCUGGAGGCCUCUCACUGUGGGAGACCCCGGGCCUGACACUGGAGAUGCUGAGAUGACCCAGUUUCAAAUCCUGGUGCCCCAGGGACCCUCUAGUCCGGCGAAGAAGUCAGUGCACUGGUCAGGAUCUCAAACUUGGAUUCCUCUCUAUGGCCUCAGUUUCCCUGGGUGUGACUGGAAAUCACUGUACCUGCCUGGCACAGUGGGUAAGGAGAGAAAGUCUCGUGCCCCGGCAAGGCUGGCUGAGCUGGGUUAUUUAUGGGUUUCUGCCCGGAGGGGGCUGCAGGCCGCUGGCGGUGUCUGACCUGAAUUCUUACACUUACAGGAAAUUAGAGCCCUUGGAAGCAGGUGCGCUGGGAUCCCAACACUCGGGUGGCUGAGAGGGCGAUGUGGCUGAGGCGACAGGGAAGGGGGCUGGACCAGGCUGAGGGCUGGAGGACCAGGCUGAGGGCUGAGGUCCCCGAGGGGACGGGGGCUGCAACCCCACCUUCCUGCUAUAGUGACCGCUACUGUUCCUGGGGUUCUUGCUCUGUGCUUUGCCUCUGUUUGCUCACCUAAUCCUCCCAACAAGCCUCUAAGGUAAGAUGAUUACCCCUCAUUUUACAGAUGGGGAAACUGAGGCUUGGUGAGCUGUGCUCACUUGCCCAUGAGCACAGAGCAGGUGUUAGAGUCAGGAUUUGAACCCAGGAAAUGCUGUGCAAUUCCGAUUCUUAUAUCCUGUUUUCCUUACCAGCCACUUAUGGGUGAGGAGGUCUCCAAGGAAACUCCAGAACAUUCUGUGGGUUUUGGUGAUGGCCUGCUGAGGUGGCAGUGGGCGUGGAGCAUCCGAAGGUCCAAGGUGGGAAAGAGUCAGGGUGUGUGGUUUAAUGGUCCAGUUCCAGGGUUGGAGCAGGAGGGUGAGUGGUUGGCAUCUGUGGCACACAGUUGUGGGGCUGUUGGGAGGUGGUCAUAGGUCAGGGAGUGCCAAGUUGGGGGGCAGGAGCCUGGGAGGCUGGAGGGAUGGGGUCUGGUCUGCCCCGAGGCCAGGCUGGGGGCAUGUGGGAGACUGAGGUGCCCUGGGGGUGCUGCCCAUCUGCAGCAGGCAGGUGUGUGAGCCUCGUGCACACGGGCAUGUGUGAUGAGUCUUUGAUCUAUAAGAAUGUAUGUGAGUGUGAACAUGUGUGCAACAAUGUGUGUGUGAGACGGGGGGUGGUGUGACGGUCUGAAUAUUUGGAUGUUUGCAGGGGCGGGUCAGGCUUGGUGAGGCCCAAGCUGUCUUCAAUUUUGGGACCUUCUUUAUAAAGAAGAAUGCAAAAUGACAUAUGCUAAAGAGACUUGAAAAUGAGAAAGAAACCACAACGAAUUACUCAAUUUUUAAGCUGACAAAUAUCACAAACAUUACCAAAUCCAGAAAAAAUGAUAAUAUUUGUGUUAAUUAACUCCCUGGCACGCUCCUAUUCUACUGAUUUUUAUUCCUUUUUUUGGCUUUGACCAUCGUGUGAACACAUCGAAAGGGCCCUCCCGGGGCCCUGGAAGGAGGCUGCAGCUCCAGCCUUGGGAUGUGUGAGCUUGUGUGAGUGACUGAGUGUGUGUGGGGGGGGUUGUGACCACAUGUGGGGGCUGUUUCACAAAAGACAGAGGUGGAGAGCAAGGCGGUCGUGGCAGACCGGCUCAAUGGACAUUUGUUGAAUAAAUAAAAAAGAAGAUCGCA